UUCUUGCGCCUGUGUUCCCACGUGCGGUGUGAACCUGAGGGCAUCAUGUUAUGAGCAGAUGGGGGCUGCAAUGACUCGCAGGAUCAGGAAUUUCAACCUAGAGAACCGAGCGAAACGGGGAAUCAGCAAGAUGAAGCCCUCUCCUGCUCCCAGGCACCCCUCUACCAACAGCCUCCUGUGAGAGCAGAUUAGUCUAUAUCCAGAAAUUAAGGGAGAGAUUGCUCAUAAAGAUGACAAGCUACUAUCAUUUCUAAAAGAUGUGUAUAUUGAUUCCAAAGACCCUGUAUCUUCUGUGCAGGUAAAAGCUACUGAAACACAUCAAGAGACAAAGGAAUUCAGAUUGCCUUUCGGCCAUGACUUUGAUAUGAUAAAUAUUAAGAGCAUUCCCAAAGGCAAAAUUUCCACUGUAGAAGCACUGACACUUCUCAAUAAUCAUAAACUUUACCCAGAAAUAUGGACUGCUGAGAAAAUAGCCCAAGAAUACCAUUUAGAACAGAAAGAUGUGAAUUUCCUUCUUAAAUAUUUUGUUACUUUUGAAGACCAAAUCUUCCCUCCUGAAGACAAGAAAGCAACACAAUCAAAAUGAAGAAAAUCACAAAAAUGUCCUAUGUGUACUCCUCAUCCUGCAUAUUUUCUCAUUUUUUGCAUAUUAAACUAUGUUAAUUA